GUUUAAGUUACCGCUAAGAGUGGCUGGAAGGGCAGGAUAGGAUGAAGGGCUCAUCUGGGCUCCGCCCUCAACAUAAGCUCGUGCGCUGUCCGUACCCGCAGGCUUGGGGGCGGGACCGGAGCUAUGCGCGUGCGCAGCAUCACGCGACAGCGCCAUCUUGCCCUGCAGUGAAGGGCUGGGGGUUUACCCCACGAGGUGGCGCAAGGCCGUUGCUCUUUCAACGGAAGAAGGAAACAAGCCCAGAGCCACGAAGCCACCAGCUGUAGUCACAACGUGCCGAAAGGACAAAGCACAGAUUGGGACCCAGGUCUGUCUGACCCCAAAGCCUGUAUUCCAGGCCCCAGGGAUACACUGCUACCCUUCACACCAGCUACAGUUUUUGUUAAAUAAACCUUUUAUUGAAGUUAAA